rnacentral:rRNA from 1 species
UUGGCGGACGGGUGAGUAACGCGUGGAUAACCUGCCGUAUACUGGGGGAUAACACUUAGAAAUAGGUGCUAAUACCGCAUAAGCGCACAGUCUCGCAUGAGACGGUGUGAAAAACUCCGGUGGUAUACGAUGGAUCCGCGUCUGAUUAGCUUGUUGGUCGGGGUAACAGCCCACCAAGGCGACGAUCAGUAGCCGGCCUGAGAGGGUGAACGGCCACAUUGGGACUGAGACACGGCCCAAACUCCUACGGAAGGCAGCAG